UACGAAGGGGGCUAGCGUUGCUCGGAAUCACUGGGCGUAAAGGGCGCGUAGGCGGCCAUUCAAGUCAGAGGUGAAAGCCCAAGGCUCAACCUUGGAACUGCCUUUGAUACUGUUUGGCUUGAGACCGGUAGAGGUAAGUGGAAUUGCGAGUGUAGAGGUGAAAUUCGUAGAUAUUCGCAAGAACACCAGUGGCGAAGGCGGCUUACUGGACCGGUUCUGACGCUGAGGCGCGAAAGCGUGGGGAGCAAACAGG
rnacentral:rRNA from 1 species